rnacentral:rRNA from 1 species
AUUGAACGCUGGCGGCAUGCUUUACACAUGCAAGUCGAACGGUAGCAGGGUGCUUGCACCGCUGACGAGUGGCGAACGGGUGAGUAAUGCGUCGGAACGUGCCGAGUAGUGGGGGAUAACGCAGCGAAAGUUGUGCUAAUACCGCAUACGUACUGAGGUAGAAAGUGGGGGACCUUCGGGCCUCACGCUAUUCGAGCGGCCGACGUCUGAUUAGCUAGUAGGUGAGGUAAAGGCUCACCUAGGCGACGAUCAGUAGCGGGUCUGAGAGGAUGAUCCGCCACACUGGGACUGAGACACGGCCCAGACUCCUACGGGAGGCAGCAGUGGGGAAUUUUGGACAAUGGGCGAAAGCCUGAUCCAGCCAUGCCGCGUGUCUGAAGAAGGCCUUCGGGUUGUAAAGGACUUUUGUCGGGGAGGAAAUCCCCAGCGUUAAUACCGCUGGGGGAUGACAGUACCUGAAGAAUAAGCACCGGCUAACUACGUGCCAGCAGCCGCUGUAAAAC